CCUACGGGAGGCAGCAGUGGGGAAUCUUGCACAAUGGAGGAAACUCUGAUGCAGCGAUGCCGCGUGAGUGAAGAAGGCCCUUGGGUUGUAAAGCUCUUUCGUCGGGGAAGAAAAUGACUGUACCCGAAUAAGAAGGUCCGGCUAACUUCGUGCCAGCAGCCGCGGUAAUACGAAGGGACCUAGCGUAGUUCGGAAUUACUGGGCUUAAAGAGUUCGUAGGUGGUUGAAAAAGUUAGUGGUGAAAUCCCAGAGCUUAACUCUGGAACUGCCAUUAAAACUUUUCAGCUAGAGUAUGAUAGAGGAAAGCAGAAUUUCUAGUGUAGAGGUGAAAUUCGUAGAUAUUAGAAAGAAUACCAAUUGCGAAGGCAGCUUUCUGGAUCAUUACUGACACUGAGGAGCGAAAGCAUGGGUAGUGAAGAGGAUU
rnacentral:rRNA from 1 species